AACACGAGGACUUCCCAGGAGGUCACCCAUCCUAGUACUACUCUCGCCCAAGCACGCUUAACUUCGGAGUUCUGAUGGGAUCCGGUGCUUUAAUGCUGGUAUGAUCGCAUCCGACAUACCGUGCGUUCUCCUCCCCUUUAUGCCCGCGCCUCCGUGUACGGCCCGCCCAUAGCUCCUUCGACGGCGCCGCCUAGGAACGCGGAGAAAAUAUGACAAAGGAACGGCCAAAAAUAAAAAGAAAGACCUUUCUUUUGAAAAAACAAACAAAAAAAAGGAAUGCAACACGAGGACUUCCCAGGAGGUCACCCAUCCUAGUACUACUUUCGCCCAAGCACGCUUAACUUCGGAGUUCCGAUGGGAUCCGGUGCUUUAGUCCUGGUAUGAUCGCAUCCGACAUACCGUGCGUUCUCCUCCCCUUGAGGCCCGCGCCUCCGUGUACGGCCCGCCCAUAGCUCCUUCGACGGCGCCGCCUAGGAACGCGGAGAAAAUAUGACAAAGGAACGGCCCACAACUAGAAAGAAAGACCUUUCUUUUGAAAAGACAGACAAACAAAAGGAAUGCAACACGAGGACUUCCCAGGAGGUCACCCAUCCUAGUACUACUCUCGCCCAAGCACGCUUAACUUCGGAGUUCUGAUGGGAUCCGGUGCUUUAGUGCUGGUAUGAUCGCAUCCGACAUACCGUGCGUUCUCCUCCCCUUUAUGCCCGCGCCUCCGUGUACGGCCCGCCCAUAGCUCCUUCGACGGCGCCGCCUAGGAACGCGGAGAAAAUAUGACAAAGGAACGGCCAAAAAUAAAAAGAAAGACCUUUCUUUUGAAAAAACAAACAAAUAAAAGGAAUGCAACACGAGGACUUCCCAGGAGGUCACCCAUCCUAGUACUACUCUCGCCCAAGCACGCUUAACUUCGGAGUUCUGAUGGGAUCCGGUGCUUUAGUGCUGGUAUGAUCGCAUCCGACAUACCGUGCGUUCUCCUCCCCUUUAUGCCCGCGCCUCCGUGUACGGCCCGCCCAUAGCUCCUUCGACGGCGCCGCCUAGGAACGCGGAGAAAAUAUGACAAAGGAACGGCCAAAAAUAAAAAGAAAGACCUUUCAUUUUGAAAAAACAAACAAAAAAAAGGAAUGCAACACGAGGACUUCCCAGGAGGUCACCCAUCCUAGUACUACUCUCGCCCAAGCACGCUUAACUUCGGAGUUCUGAUGGGAUCCGGUGCUUUAGUGCUGGUAUGAUCGCAUCCGACAUACCGUGCGUUCUCCUCCCCUUUAUGCCCGCGCCUCCGUGUACGGCCCGCCCAUAGCUCCUUCGACGGCAGCCGCCUAGGAACGCGGAGAAUAUAUGACAAAGGAACGGCCAAAAAUAAAAAGAAAGACCUUUCUUAUGAAAAAACAGACAUACCCAAGGAAUGCAACACGAGGACUUCCCAGGUGCCCAAGCACGCUUAACUUCGGAGUUCUGAUGGGAUCCGGUGCUUUAGUGCUGGUAUGAUCGCAUCCGACAUACCGUGCGUUCUCCUCCCCUUUAUGCCCGCGCCUCCGUGUACGGCCCGCCCAUAGCUCCUUCGACGGCGCCGCCUAGGAACGCGGAGAAAAUAUGACAAAGGAACGGCCAAAAAUAAAAAGAAAGACACUUUCUUUUGAAAAAACAAACAAAAAAAAGGAAUGCAACACGAGGACUUCCCAGGAGGUCACCCAUCCUAGUACUACUCUCGCCCAAGCACGCUUAACUUCGGAGUUCUGAUGGGAUCCGGUGCUUUAGUGCUGGUAUGAUCGCAUCCGACAUACCGUGCGUUCUCCUCCCCUUUAUGCCCGCGCCUCCGUGUACGGCCCGCCCAUAGCUCCUUCGACGGCGCCGCCUAGGAACGCGGAGAAAAUAUGACAAAGGAACGGCCAAAAACAAAAAGAAAGACCUUUCUUUUGAAAAAACAAACGCCUCCGUGUACGGCCCGCCCAUAGCUCCUUCGACGGCGCCGCCUAGGAACGCGGAGAAAAUAUGACAAAGGAACGGCCAAAAAUAAAAAGAAAGACCUUUCUUUUGAAAAAACAAACAAAAAAAAGGAAUGCAACACGAGGACUUCCCAGGAGGUCACCCAUCCUAGUACUACUCUCGCCCAAGCACGCUUAACUUCGGAGUUCUGAUGGGAUCCGGUGCUUUAGUGCUGGUAUGAUCGCAUCCGACAUACCGUGCGUUCUCCUCCCCUUUAUGCCCGCGCCUCCGUGUACGGCCCGCCCAUAGCUCCUUCGACGGCGCCGCCUAGGAACGCGGAGAAAAUAUGACAAAGGAACGGCCAAAAAUAAAAAGAAAGACCUUUCUUUUGAAAAAACAAACGCCUCCGUGUACGGCCCGCCCAUAGCUCCUUCGACGGCGCCGCCUAGGAACGCGGAGAAAAUAUGACAAAGGAACGGCCAAAAAUAAAAAGAAAGACCUUUCUUUUGAAAAAACAAACAAAAAAAAGGAAUGCAACACGAGGACUUCCCAGGAGGUCACCCAUCCUAGUACUACUCUCGCCCAAGCACGCUUAACUUCGGAGUUCUGAUGGGAUCCGGUGCUUUAGUGCUGGUAUGAUCGCAUCCGACAUACCGUGCGUUCUCCUCCCCUUUAUGCCCGCGCCUCCGUGUACGGCCCGCCCAUAGCUCCUUCGACGGCGCCGCCUAGGAACGCGGAGAAAAUAUGACAAAGGAACGGCCAAAAAUAAAAAGAAAGACCUUUCUUUUGAAAAAACAAACGCCUCCGUGUACGGCCCGCCCAUAGCUCCUUCGACGGCGCCGCCUAGGAACGCGGAGAAAAUAUGACAAAGGAACGGCCAAAAAUAAAAAGAAAGACCUUUCUUUUGAAAAAACAAACAAAAAAAAGGAAUGCAACACGAGGACUUCCCAGGAGGUCACCCAUCCUAGUACUACUCUCGCCCAAGCACGCUUAACUUCGGAGUUCUGAUGGGAUCCGGUGCUUUAGUGCUGGUAUGAUCGCAUCCGACAUACCGUGCGUUCUCCUCCCCUUUAUGCCCGCGCCUCCGUGUACGGCCCGCCCAUAGCUCCUUCGACGGCGCCGCCUAGGAACGCGGAGAAAAUAUGACAAAGGAACGGCCAAAAAUAAAAAGAAAGACCUUUCUUUUGAAAAAACAAACAAAUAAAAGGAAUGCAACACGAGGAGUUCCCAGGAGGUCACCCAUCCUAGUACUACUCUCGCCCAAGCACGCUUAACUUCGGAGUUCUGAUGGGAUCCGGUGCUUUAGUGCUGGUAUGAUCGCAUCCGACAUACCGUGCGUUCUCCUCCCCUUUAUGCCCGCGCCUCCGUGUACGGCCCGCCCAUAGCUCCUUCGACGGCGCCGCCUAGGAACGCGGAGAAAAUAUGACAAAGGAACGGCCAAAAAUAAAAAGAAAGACCUUUCUUUUGAAAAAACAAACAAAAAAAAGAAAUGCAACACGAGGACUUCCCAGGAGGUCACCCAUCCUAGUACUACUCUCGCCCAAGCACGCUUAACUUCGGAGUUCUGAUGGGAUCCGGUGCUUUAGUGCUGGUAUGAUCGCAUCCGACAUACCGUGCGUUCUCCUCCCCUUUAUGCCCGCGCCUCCGUGUACGGCCCGCCCAUAGCUCCUUCGACGGCGCCGCCUAGGAACGCGGAGAAAAUAUGACAAAGGAACGGCCAAAAAUAAAAAGAAAGACCUUUCUUUGAAAAAACAAACAAUUCACAGGAAUGCAACACGAGGACUUCCCACGAGGUCACCCAUCCUAGUACUACUCUCGCCCAAGCACGCUUAACUUCGGAGUUCUGAUGGGAUCCGGUGCUUUAGUGCUGGUAUGAUCGCAUCCGACAUACCGUGCGUUCUCCUCCCCUUUAUGCCCGCGCCUCCGUGUACGGCCCGCCCAUAGCUCCUUCGACGGCGCCGCCUAGGAACGCGGAGAAAAUAUGACAAAGGAACGGCCAAAAAUAAAAAGAAAGACCUUUCUUUUGAAAAAACAAACCAAAAAAAAGGAAUGCAACACGAGGACUUCCCAAGAGGUCACCCAUCCUAGUACUACUCUCGCCCAAGCACGCUUAACUUCGGAGUUCUGAUGGGAUCCGGUGCUUUAGUGCUGGUAUGAUCGCAUCCGACAUACCGUGCGUUCUCCUCCCCAUUAUGCCCGCGCCUCCGUGUACGGCCCGCCCAUAGCUCCUUUGACGGCGCCGCUUAGGAACGCGGAGAAAAUAUGACAAAGGAACGGCCAAAAAUAAAAAGAAAGACCUUUCUUUUGAAAAAACAAACAAAUAAAAGGAAUGCAACACGAGGACUUCCCAGGAGGUCACCCAUCCUAGUACUACUCUCGCCCAAGCACGCUUAACUUCGGAGUUCUGAUGGGAUCCGGUGCUUUAGUGCUGGUAUGAUCGCAUCCGACAUACCGUGCGUUCUCCUCCCCUUUAUGCCCGCGCCUCCGUGUACGGCCCGCCCAUAGCUCCUUCGACGGCGCCGCCUAGGAACGCGGAGAAAAUAUGACAAAGGAACGGCCAAAAACAAAAAGAAAGACCUUUCUUUUGAAAAAACAAACAAAAAAAAGGAAUGCAACACGAGGACUUCCCAGGAGGUCACCCAUCCUAGUACUACUCUCGCCCAAGCACGCUUAACUUCGGAGUUCUGAUGGGAUCCGGUGCUUUAGUGCUGGUAUGAUCGCAUCCGACAUACCGUGCGUUCUCCUCCCCUUUAUGCCCGCGCCUCCGUGUACGGCCCGCCCAUAGCUCCUUCGACGGCGCCGCCUAGGAACGCGGAGAAAAUAUGACAAAGGAACGGCCAAAAAUAAAAAGAAAGACCUUUCUUUUGAAAAAACAAACAAAUAAAAGGAAUGCAACACGAGGACUUCCCAGGAGGUCACCCAUCCUAGUACUACUCUCGCCCAAGCACGCUUAACUUCGGAGUUCUGAUGGGAUCCGGUGCUUUAGUGCUGGUAUGAUCGCAUCCGACAUACCGUGCGUUCUCCUCCCCUUUAUGCCCGCGCCUCCGUGUACGGCCCGCCCAUAGCUCCUUCGACGGCGCCGCCUAGGAACGCGGAGAAAAUAUGACAAAGGAACGGCCAAAAAUAAAAAGAAAGACCUUUCUUUUGAAAAAACAAACAAAUAAAAGGAAUGCAACACGAGGACUUCCCAGGAGAUCACCCAUCCUAGUACUACUCUCGCCCAAGCACGCUUAACUUCGGAGUUCUGAUGGGAUCCGGUGCUUUAGUGCUGGUAUGAUCGCAUCCGACAUACCGUGCGUUCUCCUCCCCUUUAUGCCCGCGCCUCCGUGUACGGCCCGCCCAUAGCUCCUUCGACGGCGCCGCCUAGGAACGCGGAGAAAAUAUGACAAAGGAACGGCCAAAAAUAAAAAGAAAGACCUUUCUUUUGAAAAAACAAACAAAAAAAAGGAAUGCAACACGAGGACUUCCCACGAGGUCACCCAUCCUAGUACUACUCUAGUACCAAGCACGCUUAACUUCGGAGUUCUGAUGGGAUCCGGUGCUUUAGUGCUGGUAUGAUCGCAUCCGACAUACCGUGCGUUCUCCUCCCCUUUAUGCCCGCGCCUCCGUGUACGGCCCGCCCAUAGCUCCUUCGACGGCGCCGCCUAGGAACGCGGAGAAAAUAUGACAAAGGAACGGCCAAAAAUAAAAAGAAAGACCUUUCUUUUGAAAAAACAAACAAAAAAAAGGAAUGCAACACGAGGACUUCCCAGGAGGUCACCCAUCCUAGUACUACUCUCGCCCAAGCACGCUUAACUUCGGAGUUCUGAUGGGAUCCGGUGCUUUAGUGCUGGUAUGAUCGCAUCCGACAUACCGUGCGUUCUCCUCCCCUUUAUGCCCGCGCCUCCGUGUACGGCCCGCCCAUAGCUCCUUCGACGGCGCCGCCUAGGAACGCGGAGAAAAUAUGACAAAGGAACGGCCAAAAAUAAAAAGAAAGACCUUUCUUUUGAAAAAACAAACAAAUAAAAGGAAUGCAACACGAGGACUUCCCAGGAGGUCACCCAUCCUAGUACUACUCUCGCCCAAGCACGCUUAACUUCGGAGUUCUGAUGGGAUCCGGUGCUUUAGUGCUGGUAUGAUCGCAUCCGACAUACCGUGCGUUCUCCUCCCCUUUAUGCCCGCGCCUCCGUGUACGGCCCGCCCAUAGCUCCUUCGACGGCGCCGCCUAGGAACGCGGAGAAAAUAUGACAAAGGAACGGCCAAAAAUAAAAAGAAAGACCUUUCUUUUGAAAAAACAAACAAAAAAAAGGAAUGCAACACGAGGACUUCCCAGGAGGUCACCCAUCCUAGUACUACUCUCGCCCAAGCACGCUUAACUUCGGAGUUCUGAUGGGAUCCGGUGCUUUAGUGCUGGUAUGAUCGCAUCCGACAUACCGUGCGUUCUCCUCCCCUUUAUGCCCGCGCCUCCGUGUACGGCCCGCCCAUAGCUCCUUCGACGGCGCCGCCUAGGAACGCGGAGAAAAUAUGACAAAGGAACGGCCAAAAAUAAAAAGAAAGACCUUUCUUUUGAAAAAACAAACAAAAAAAAGGAAUGCAACACGAGGACUUCCCAGGAGGUCACCCAUCCUAGUACUACUCUCGCCCAAGCACGCUUAACUUCGGAGUUCUGAUGGGAUCCGGUGCUUUAGUGCUGGUAUGAUCGCAUCCGACAUACCGUGCGUUCUCCUCCCCUUUAUGCCCGCGCCUCCGUGUACGGCCCGCCCAUAGCUCCUUCGACGGCGCCGCCUAGGAACGCGGAGAAAAUAUGACAAAGGAACGGCCAAAAAUAAAAAGAAAGACCUUUCUUUUGAAAAAACAAACAAAUAAAAGGAAUGCAACACAAGGACUUCCCAGGAGGUCACCCAUCCUAGUACUACUCUCGCCCAAGCACGCUUAACUUCGGAGUUCUGAUGGGAUCCGGUGCUUUAGUGCUGGUAUGAUCGCAUCCGACAUACCGUGCGUUCUCCUCCCCUUUAUGCCCGCGCCUCCGUGUACGGCCCGCCCAUAGCUCCUUCGACGGCGCCGCCUAGGAACGCGGAGAAAAUAUGACAAAGGAACGGCCAAAAAUAAAAAGAAAGACCUUUCUUUUGAAAAAACAAACGCCUCCGUGUACGGCCCGCCCAUAGCUCCUUCGACGGCGCCGCCUAGGAACGCGGAGAAAAUAUGACAAAGGAACGGCCAAAAAUAAAAAGAAAGACCUUUCUUUUGAAAAAACAAACAAAAAAAAGGAAUGCAACACGAGGACUUCCCAGGAGGUCACCCAUCCUAGUACUACUCUCGCCCAAGCACGCUUAACUUCGGAGUUCUGAUGGGAUCCGGUGCUUUAGUGCUGGUAUGAUCGCAUCCGACAUACCGUGCGUUCUCCUCCCCUUUAUGCCCGCGCCUCCGUGUACGGCCCGCCCAUAGCUCCUUCGACGGCGCCGCCUAGGAACGCGGAGAAAAUAUGACAAAGGAACGGCCAAAAAUAAAAAGAAAGACCUUUCUUUUGAAAAAACAAACGCCUCCGUGUACGGCCCGCCCAUAGCUCCUUCGACGGCGCCGCCUAGGAACGCGGAGAAAAUAUGACAAAGGAACGGCCAAAAAUAAAAAGAAAGACCUUUCUUUUGAAAAAACAAACAAAAAAAAGGAAUGCAACACGAGGACUUCCCAGGAGGUCACCCAUCCUAGUACUACUCUCGCCCAAGCACGCUUAACUUCGGAGUUCUGAUGGGAUCCGGUGCUUUAGUGCUGGUAUGAUCGCAUCCGACAUACCGUGCGUUCUCCUCCCCUUUAUGCCCGCGCCUCCGUGUACGGCCCGCCCAUAGCUCCUUCGACGGCGCCGCCUAGGAACGCGGAGAAAAUAUGACAAAGGAACGGCCAAAAAUAAAAAGAAAGACCUUUCUUUUGAAAAAACAAACAAAUAAAAGGAAUGCAACACGAGGACUUCCCAGGAGGUCACCCAUCCUAGUACUACUCUCGCCCAAGCACGCUUAACUUCGGAGUUCUGAUGGGAUCCGGUGCUUUAGUGCUGGUAUGAUCGCAUCCGACAUACCGUGCGUUCUCCUCCCCUUUAUGCCCGCGCCUCCGUGUACGGCCCGCCCAUAGCUCCUUCGACGGCGCCGCCUAGGAACGCGGAGAAAAUAUGACAAAGGAACGGCCAAAAAUAAAAAGAAAGACCUUUCUUUUGAAAAAACAAACAAAAAAAAAGGAAUGCAACACGAGGACUUCCCAGGAGGUCACCCAUCCUAGUACUACUCUCGCCCAAGCACGCUUAACUUCGGAGUUCUGAUGGGAUCCGGUGCUUUAGUGCUGGUAUGAUCGCAUCCGACAUACCGUGCGUUCUCCUCCCCUUUAUGCCCGCGCCUCCGUGUACGGCCCGCCCAUAGCUCCUUCGACGGCGCCGCCUAGGAACGCGGAGAAAAUAUGACAAAGGAACGGCCAAAAAUAAAAAGAAAGACCUUUCUUUUGAAAAAACAAACAAAAAAAAGGAAUGCAACACGAGGACUUCCCAGGAGGUCACCCAUCCUAGUACUACUCUCGCCCAAGCACGCUUAACUUCGGAGUUCUGAUGGGAUCCGGUGCUUUAGUGCUGGUAUGAUCGCAUCCGACAUACCGUGCGUUCUCCUCCCCUUUAUGCCCGCGCCUCCGUGUACGGCCCGCCCAUAGCUCCUUCGACGGCGCCGCCUAGGAACGCGGAGAAAAUAUGACAAAGGAACGGCCAAAAAUAAAAAGAAAGACCUUUCUUUUGAAAAAACAAACAAAAAAAAGGAAUGCAACACGAGGACUUCCCAGGAGGUCACCCAUCCUAGUACUACUCUCGCCCAAGCACGCUUAACUUCGGAGUUCUGAUGGGAUCCGGUGCUCUAGUGCUGGUAUGAUCGCAUCCGACAUACCGUGCGUUCUCCUCCCCUUUAUGCCCGCGCCUCCGUGUACGGCCCGCCCAUAGCUCCUUCGACGGCGCCGCCUAGGAACGCGGAGAAAAUAUGACAAAGGAACGGCCAAAAAUAAAAAGAAAGACCUUUCUUUUGAAAAAACAAACAAAAAAAAAGGAAUGCAACACGAGGACUUCCCAGGAGGUCACCCAUCCUAGUACUACUCUCGCCCAAGCACGCUUAACUUCGGAGUUCUGAUGGGAUCCGGUGCUUUAGUGCUGGUAUGAUCGCAUCCGACAUACCGUGCGUUCUCCUCCCCUUUAUGCCCGCGCCUCCGUGUACGGCCCGCCCAUAGCUCCUUCGACGGCGCCGCCUAGGAACGCGGAGAAAAUAUGACAAAGGAACGGCCAAAAAUAAAAAGAAAGACCUUUCUUUUGAAAAAACAAACAAAUAAAAGGAAUGCAACACGAGGACUUCCUAGGAGGUCACCCAUCCUAGUACUACUCUCGCCCAAGCACGCUUAACUUCGGAGUUCUAAUGGGAUCCGGUGCUUUAGUGCUGGUAUGAUCGCAUCCGACAUACCGUGCGUUCUCCUCCCCUUUAUGCCCGCGCCUCCGUGUACGGCCCGCCCAUAGCUCCUUCGACGGCGCCGCCUAGGAACGCGGAGAAAAUAUGACAAAGGAACGGCCAAAAAUAAAAAGAAAGACCUUUCUUUUGAAAAAACAAACAAAAAAAAGGAAUGCAACACGAGGACUUCCCAGGAGGUCACCCAUCCUAGUACUACUCUCGCCCAAGCACGCUUAACUUCGGAGUUCUGAUGGGAUCCGGUGCUUUAGUGCUGGUAUGAUCGCAUCCGACAUACCGUGCGUUCUCCUCCCCUUUAUGCCCGCGCCUCCGUGUACGGCCCGCCCAUAGCUCCUUCGACGGCGCCGCCUAGGAACGCGGAGAAAAUAUGACAAAGGAACGGCCAAAAAUAAAAAGAAAGACCUUUCUUUUGAAAAAACAAACAAAAAAAAGGAAUGCAACACGAGGACUUCCCAGGAGGUCACCCAUCCUAGUACUACUCUCGCCCAAGCACGCUUAACUUCGGAGUUCUGAUGGGAUCCGGUGCUUUAGUGCUGGUAUGAUCGCAUCCGACAUACCGUGCGUUCUCCUCCCCUUUAUGCCCGCGCCUCCGUGUACGGCCCGCCCAUAGCUCCUUCGACGGCGCCGCCUAGGAACGCGGAGAAAAUAUGACAAAGGAACGGCCAAAAAUAAAAAGAAAGACCUUUCUUUUGAAAAAACAAACAAAAAAAAGGAAUGCAACACGAGGACUUCCCAGGAGGUCACCCAUCCUAGUACUACUCUCGCCCAAGCACGCUUAACUUCGGAGUUCUGAUGGGAUCCGGUGCUUUAGUGCUGGUAUGAUCGAAUCCGACAUACCGUGCGUUCUCCUCCCCUUUAUGCCCGCGCCUCCGUGUACGGUCCGCCCAUAGCUCCUUCGACGGCGCCGCCUAGGAACGCGGAGAAAAUAUGACAAAGGAACGGCCAAAAAUAAAAAGAAAGACCUUUCUUUUGAAAAAACAAACAAAUAAAAGGAAUGCAACACGAGGACUUCCCAGGAGGUCACCCAUCCUAGUACUACUCUCGCCCAAGCACGCUUAACUUCGGAGUUCUGAUGGGAUCCGGUGCUUUAGUGCUGGUAUGAUCGCAUCCGACAUACCGUGCGUUCUCCUCCCCUUUAUGCCCGCGCCUCCGUGUACGGCCCGCCCAUAGCUCCUUCGACGGCGCCGCCUAGGAACGCGGAGAAAAUAUGACAAAGGAACGGCCAAAAAUAAAAAGAAAGACCUUUCUUUUGAAAAAACAAACAAAUAAAAGGAAUGCAACACGAGGACUUCCCAGGAGGUCACCCAUCCUAGUACUACUCUCGCCCAAGCACGCUUAACUUCGGAGUUCUGAUGGGAUCCGGUGCUUUAGUGCUGGUAUGAUCGCAUCCGACAUACCGUGCGUUCUCCUCCCCUUUAUGCCCGCGCCUCCGUGUACGGCCCGCCCAUAGCUCCUUCGACGGCGCCGCCUAGGAACGCGGAGAAAAUAUGACAAAGGAACGGCCAAAAAUAAAAAGAAAGACCUUUCUUUUGAAAAAACAAACAAAAAAAAGGAAUGCAGCACCAGGACUUCCCGGAAGGUCACCCAUCCAAAUACAACUCUCGCCGAACCACGUUUAACUUCGAAUUUCUAAUGGAAUCCGGGGCUUUAGAGCUGGAAUGAUCGCAUCCGACAUACCGUGCGUUCUCCUCCCCUUUAUGCCCGCGCCUCCGUGUACGGCCCGCCCAUAGCUCCUUCGACGGCGCCGCCUAGGAACGCGGAGAAAAUAUGACAAAGGAGCGGCCAAAAAUAAAAAGAAAGACCUUUCUUUUGAAAAAACAAACAAAUAAAAGGAAUGCAACACGAGGACUUCCUAGGAGGUCACCCAUCCUAGUACUACUCUCGCCCAAGCACGCUUAACUUCGGAGUUCUGAUGGGAUCCGGUGCUUUAGUGCUGGUAUGAUCGCAUCCGACAUACCGUGCGUUCUCCUCCCCUUUAUGCCCGCGCCUCCGUGUACGGCCCGCCCAUAGCUCCUUCGACGGCGCCGCCUAGGAACGCGGAGAAAAUAUGACAAAGGAACGGCCAAAAAUAAAAAGAAAGACCUUUCUUUUGAAAAAACAAACGCCUCCGUGUACGGCCCGCCCAUAGCUCCUUCGACGGCGCCGCCUAGGAACGCGGAGAAAAUAUGACAAAGGAACGGCCAAAAAUAAAAAGAAAGACCUUUCUUUUGAAAAAACAAACAAAAAAAAGGAAUGCAACACGAGGACUUCCCAGGAGGUCACCCAUCCUAGUACUACUCUCGCCCAAGCACGCUUAACUUCGGAGUUCUGAUGGGAUCCGGUGCUUUAGUGCUGGUAUGAUCGCAUCCGACAUACCGUGCGUUCUCCUCCCCUUUAUGCCCGCGCCUCCGUGUACGGCCCGCCCAUAGCUCCUUCGACGGCGCCGCCUAGGAACGCGGAGAAAAUAUGACAAAGGAACGGCCAAAAAUAAAAAGAAAGACCUUUCUUUUGAAAAAACAAACAAAUAAAAGGAAUGCAACACGAGGACUUCCCAGGAGGUCACCCAUCCUAGUACUACUCUCGCCCAAGCACGCUUAACUUCGGAGUUCUGAUGGGAUCCGGUGCUUUAGUGCUGGUAUGAUCGCAUUCGACAUACCGAUGCGUUCUCAUCCCCGUUAUGCGCCGCGCCUCUGUGUACGGCCCGCCCAUAGCUCCUUUGACUGCGCCUCGUAGGAUCGCGGAGAAUAUAUGACAAAGGCACGGCCAAACAUAAAACGAAAGACCUCUCUUUUGCAACAACAAACAAAAUAAAGGAAUGCAACACGAGGACUUCCCAGGAGGUCACCCAUCCUAGUACUAGUCUCGCUCAAGCACGCUGAUCUUCGGAGUUCUGAUGGGAUCCGGUGCUUUAGUGCUGGUAUGAUCGCAUCCGACAUACCGUGCGUUCUCCUCCCCUUUAUGCCCGCGCCUCCGUGUACGGCCCGCCCAUAGCUCCUUCGACGGCGCCGCCUAGGAACGCGGAGAAAAUAUGACAAAGGAACGGCCAAAAAUAAAAAGAAAGACCUUUCUUUUGAAAAAACAAACAAAAAAAAGGAAUGCAACACGAGGACUUCCCAGGAGGUCACCCAUCCUAGUACUACUCUCGCCCAAGCACGCUUAACUUCGGAGUUCUGAUGGGAUCCGGUGCUUUAGUGCUGGUAUGAUCGCAUCCGACAUACCGUGCGUUCUCCUCCCCUUUAUGCCCGCGCCUCCGUGUACGGCCCGCCCAUAGCUCCUUCGACGGCGCCGCCUAGGAACGCGGAGAAAAUAUGACAAAGGAACGGCCAAAAAUAAAAAGAAAGACCUUUCUUUUGAAAAAACAAACAAAUAAAAGGAAUGCAACACGAGGACUUCCCAGGAGGUCACCCAUCCUAGUACUACUCUCGCCCAAGCACGCUUAACUUCGGAGUUCUGAUGGGAUCCGGUGCUUUAGUGCUGGUAUGAUCGCAUCCGACAUACCGUGCGUUCUCCUCCCCUUUAUGCCCGCGCCUCCGUGUACGGCCCGCCCAUAGCUCCUUCGACGAGCCCGCCUAGGAACGCGGAGAAAAUAUGACAAAGGAACGGCCAAAAAUAAAAAGAAAGACCUUUCUUUUGAAAAAACAAACAAAUAAAAGGAAUGCAACACGAGGACUUCCCAGGAGGUCACCCAUCCUAGUACUACUCUCGCCCAAGCACGCUUAACUUCGGAGUUCUGAUGGGAUCCGGUGCUUUAGUGCUGGUAUGAUCGCAUCCGACAUACCGUGCGUUCUCCUCCCCUUUAUGCCCGCGCCUCCGUGUACGGCCCGCCCAUAGCUCCUUCGACGGCGCCGCCUAGGAACGCGGAGAAAAUAUGACAAAGGAACGGCCAAAAAUAAAAAGAAAGACCUUUCUUUUGAAAAAACAAACAAAAAAAAGGAAUGCAACACGAGGACUUCCCAGGAGGUCACCCAUCCUAGUACUACUCUCGCCCAAGCACGCUUAACUUCGGAGUUCUGAUGGGAUCCGGUGCUUUAGUGCUGGUAUGAUCGCAUCCGACAUACCGUGCGUUCUCCUCCCCUUUAUGCCCGCGCCUCCGUGUACGGCCCGCCCAUAGCUCCUUCGACGGCGCCGCCUAGGAACGCGGAGAAAAUAUGACAAAGGAACGGCCAAAAAUAAAAAGAAAGACCUUUCUUUUGAAAAAACAAACAAAUAAAAGGAAUGCAACACGAGGACUUCCCAGGAGGUCACCCAUCCUAGUACUACUCUCGCCCAAGCACGCUUAACUUCGGAGUUCUGAUGGGAUCCGGUGCUUUAGUGCUGGUAUGAUCGCAUCCGACAUACCGUGCGUUCUCCUCCCCUUUAUGCCCGCGCCUCCGUGUACGGCCCGCCCAUAGCUCCUUCGACGGCGCCGCCUAGGAACGCGGAGAAAAUAUGACAAAGGAACGGCCAAAAAUAAAAAGAAAGACCUUUCUUUUGAAAAAACAAACAAAUAAAAGGAAUGCAACACGAGGACUUCCCAGGAGGUCACCCAUCCUAGUACUACUCUCGCCCAAGCACGCUUAACUUCGGAGUUCUGAUGGGAUCCGGUGCUUUAGUGCUGGUAUGAUCGCAUCCGACAUACCGUGCGUUCUCCUCCCCUUUAUGCCCGCGCCUCCGUGUACGGUCCGCCCAUAGCUCUUUAGUUGGCGCCUCCUAGGAACGCGGAGAAAAUAUGACAAAGGAACGGCCAAAAAUAAAAAGAAAGACCUUUCUUUUGAAAAAACAAACGCCUCCGUGUACGGCCCGCCCAUAGCUCCUUCGACGGCGCCGCCUAGGAACGCGGAGAAAAUAUGACAAAGGAACGGCCAAAAAUAAAAAGAAAGACCUUUCUUUUGAAAAAACAAACAAAAAAAAGGAAUGCAACACGAGGACUUCCCAGGAGGUCACCCAUCCUAGUACUACUCUCGCCCAAGCACGCUUAACUUCGGAGUUCUGAUGGGAUCCGGUGCUUUAGUGCUGGUAUGAUCGCAUCCGACAUACCGUGCGUUCUCCUCCCCUUUAUGCCCGCGCCUCCGUGUACGGCCCGCCCAUAGCUCCUUCGACGGCGCCGCCUAGGAACGCGGAGAAAAUAUGACAAAGGAACGGCCAAAAAUAAAAAGAAAGACCUUUCUUUUGAAAAAACAAACAAAUAAAAGGAAUGCAACACGAGGAGUUCCCAGGAGGUCACCCAUCCUAGUACUACUCUCGCCCAAGCACGCUUAACUUCGGAGUUCUGAUGGGAUCCGGUGCUUUAGUGCUGGUAUGAUCGCAUCCGACAUACCGUGCGUUCUCCUCCCCUUUAUGCCCGCGCCUCCGUGUACGGCCCGCCCAUAGCUCCUUCGAUGGCGCCGCCUAGGAACGCGGAGAAAAUAUGACAAAGGAACGGCCAAAAAUAAAAAGAAAGACCUUUCUUUUGAAAAAACAAACGCCUCCGUGUACGGCCCGCCCAUAGCUCCUUCGACGGCGCCGCCUAGGAACGCGGAGAAAAUAUGACAAAGGAACGGCCAAAAAUAAAAAGAAAGACCUUUCUUUUGAAAAAACAAACAAAAAAAAGGAAUGCAACACGAGGACUUCCCAGGAGGUCACCCAUCCUAGUACUACUCUCGCCCAAGCACGCUUAACUUCGGAGUUCGGAUGGGAUCCGGUGCUUUAGUGCUGGUAUGAUCGCAUCCGACAUACCGUGCGUUCUCCUCCCCUUUAUGCCCGCGCCUCCGUGUACGGCCCGCCCAUAGCUCCUUCGACGGCGCCGCCUAGGAACGCGGAGAAAAUAUGACAAAGGAACGGCCAAAAAUAAAAAGAAAGACCUUUCUUUUGAAAAAACAAACAAAUAAAAGGAAUGCAACACGAGGACUUCCCAGGAGGUCACCCAUCCUAGUACUACUCUCGCCCAAGCACGCUUAACUUCGGAGUUCUGAUGGGAUCCGGUGCUUUAGUGCUGGUAUGAUCGCAUCCGACAUACCGUGCGUUCUCCUCCCCUUUAUGCCCGCGCCUCCGUGUACGGCCCGCCCAUAGCUCCUUCGACGGCGCCGCCUAGGAACGCGGAGAAAAUAUGACAAAGGAACGGCCAAAAAUAAAAAGAAAGACCUUUCUUUUGAAAAAACAAACAAAAAAAAGGAAUGCAACACGAGGACUUCCCAGGAGGUCACCCAUCCUAGUACUACUCUCGCCCAAGCACGCUUAACUUCGCAGUUCUGAUGGGAUCCGGUGCUUUAGUGCUGGUAUGAUCGCAUCCGACAUACCGUGCGUUCUCCUCCCCUUUAUGCCCGCGCCUCCGUGUACGGCCCGCCCAUAGCUCCUUCGACGGCGCCGCCUAGGAACGCGGAGAAAAUAUGACAAAGGAACGGCCAAAAAUAAAAAGAAAGACCUUUCUUUUGAAAAAACAAACGGCUCCGUGUACGGCCCGCCCAUAGCUCCUUCGACGGCGCCGCCUAGGAACGCGGAGAAAAUAUGACAAAGGAACGGCCAAAAAUAAAAAGAAAGACCUUUCUUUUGAAAAAACAAACAAAAAAAAGGAAUGCAACACGAGGACUUCCCAGGAGGUCACCCAUCCUAGUACUACUCUCGCCCAAGCACGCUUAACUUCGGAGUUCUGAUGGGAUCCGGUGCUUUAGUGCUGGUAUGAUCGCAUCCGACAUACCGUGCGUUCUCCUCCCCUUUAUGCCCGCGCCUCCGUGUACGGCCCGCCCAUAGCUCCUUCGACGGCGCCGCCUAGGAACGCGGAGAAAAUAUGACAAAGGAACGGCCAAAAAUAAAAAGAAAGACCUUUCUUUUGAAAAAACAAACAAAUAAAAGGAAUGCAACACGAGGACUUCCCAGGAGGUCACCCAUCCUAGUACUACUCUCGCCCAAGCACGCUUAACUUCGGAGUUCUGAUGGGAUCCGGUGCUUUAGUGCUGGUAUGAUCGCAUCCGACAUACCGUGUGUCGACGAAAGCUGGUCGGCAGUCUACCUUGGGGUAUACCCACGGUAGUAGUUUAUCGGUAGACGGUGCGCAAACUACGAACUCGAUGGUGACGCAAGACACGGACAAGCUUUUUAUCCAGGUUCGGCCGCCGAGUUGGCGUAAUACCUACGUCCUGCGUCUGGUUGUAUUGGAUUGUGUUUAGAGAUAAUCUACCCUAGGGGGUCCCCUUGCCCCUCCUUAUAUAGUCUGGAGGGCAGGGUUACAGAUCUAGAAACUAAUCCUAGCCGGUUACAAUUGCCAUAGAUAAUUCGAUAUCAAUUCCUAUUCUAACCGACUAGAAUCCUGCUUGAUCUCCACGUCCUGUUUCCUUGCGCGAAACUCGGGCUAUCGGAUCAAGCCUUGAACUCGUCUCGUAGUGGGCCAAGCUUCCUAGCUGAAGUCUAGCCGUAAGGGUAUAGGGGUUUAUACCCCCACAGCUAGUCCCCGAGCGCCAUGUAUUGUGACGCAACACUCCGUCUUGAGCUUCUUCGAUCAGCGUGGUCUGUCGUCUUCAAUGAGCGGGGAAAUCGCCCAAACGGUUCAUUGAUCAACGUUGUCAUCGAAGAAGCAGGUUGUUCGAAGAAUGCAUGGUGCUCUAAAAAAAAUUUCUUUCCUGGUGAAGUGUGCCCACUUUGCCUUUCUGAAAGGUAGAAGCAACAAAAAAGCAAGCAAAUUCACCGCUAGGUGAAGUGUGCCCACUUAGUCCCCGAGCCUGGUAGUAGGUGUCGUAGGCACGUGGUGCCAGGGUCAAAAGAAAAUUCCCCAAAGUAGUUUUGGGACUGAGAUGCAUCGUACCGAUGUAGUCCCCGAGCUUGCUGGAAGGCGAAGUAUGAGCCUUGUAGCAAGGUCUAAAAAAUUGAAUUUACCAGUCCCCGAGCAUGUCAUGCUCGUCUGCAAUCGAAAAGACCAAUCGACCAGUCCCCAGGCACUUAGUGUGCUGCCUGGAAUUACAUGUUACUAUACUGUACGACCAGUCCCCGAGCAUCGAGUGCUCAGUGGUCGGUGCAUGCUUUAAAGCUUUGAGCUGAUAGACUGAGCGACCAGUCCCCGAGCGUCGAGUGCUCGGUGGUCGGUGAAGUCUUUGAAGUUCCGAGCUGAUAAACUGGGCGACCAGUCCCCGAGCGUCGAGUGCUCGGUGGUCGGUGCAGUCUUUGAAGUUCCGAGCUAAUAAACUGGGCGACCAGUCCCCGAGCGUCGAGUGCUCGGUGGUCGGUGCAGUCUUUGAAGUUCCGAGCUAAUAAACUGGGCGACCAGUCCCCGAGCGUCGAGUGCUCGGUGGUCGGUGCAGUCCCCGGAUUGCUGACUCACUGGCGUAUGUGUCUUCUUACUUUUGAAAAGGUCUUUCAAAUUUAAAGUUGACGUGACGGGGUCUCCUGACGAUAUGUCAGACGGAUGCAUGAAAAGCUGUGCCUGGCAACUGUACAACCGCUCUUUGCNNNNNNNNNNNNNNNNNNNNNNNNNNNNNNNNNNNNNNNNNNNNNNNNNNNNNNNNNNNNNNNNNNNNNNNNNNNNNNNNNNNNNNNNNNNNNNNNNNNNCGUUCUCCUCCCCUUUAUGCCCGCGCCUCCGUGUCCGUAAAGGGCAUAGCUCCUUCGACGGCGCCGCCGUAGGAACGCUGAGAAGAUAUGACAAAGGAACGGCCAAAAAUAAAAAGAAAGACCUUUCUUUUGAAAAAACAAACAAAAAAAAGGAAUGCAACACGAGGACUUCCCAGGAGGUCACCCAUCCUAGUACUACUCUCGCCCAAGCACGCUUAACUUCGGAGUUCUGAUGGGAUCCGGUGCUUUAGUGCUGGUAUGAUCGCAUCCGACAUACCGUGCGUUCUCCUCCCCUUUAUGCCCGCGCCUCCGUGUACGGCCGGCCCAUAGCUCCUUCGACGGCGCCGCCUAGGAACGCGGAGAAAAUAUGACAAAGGAAUUUUUUUAAAUAAAAAGAAAGACCUUUCUUUUGAAAAAACAAACGAAAAAAAGGAAUGCAACACGAGGACUUCCCAGGAGGUCACCCAUCCUAGUACUACUCUCGCCCAAGCACGCUUAACUUCGGAGUUCUGAUGGGAUCCGGUGCUUUAGUGCUGGUAUGAUCGCAUCCGACAUACCGUGCGUUCUCCUCCCCUUUAUGCCCGCGCCUCCGUGUACGGCCCGCCCAUAGCUCCUUCGACGGCGCCGCCUAAGAACGCGGAAAAAAUAUGACAAAGGAACGGCCAAAAAUAAAAAAAAAAAACCUUUCUUUUGAAAAAANNNNNNNNNNNNNNNNNNNNNNNNNNNNNNNNNNNNNNNNNNNNNNNNNNNNNNNNNNNNNNNNNNNNNNNNNNNNNNNNNNNNNNNNNNNNNNNNNNNNAAAAGGAAUGCAACACGAGGACUUCCCAGGAGGUCACCCAUCCUAGUACUACUCUCGCCCAAGCACGCUUAACUUCGGAGUUCUGAUGGGAUCCGGUGCUUUAGUGCUGGUAUGAUCGCAUCCGACAUACCGUGCGUUCUCCUCCCCUUUAUGCCCGCGCCUCCGUGUUACGGCCCGCCCAUAGCUCCUUCGACGGCGCCGCCUAGGAACGCGGAGAAAAUAUGACAAAGGAACGGCCAAAAAUCAAAAGAAAGACCUUUCUUUUGAAAAAACACACGCCUCCGUGUACGGCCCGCCCAUAGCUCCUUCGACGGCGCCGCCUAGGAACGCGGAGAAAAUAUGACAAAGGAACGGCCAAAAAUAAAAAGAAAGACCUUUCUUUUGAAAAAACAAACAAAUAAAAGGAAUGCAACACGAGGACUUCCCAGGAGGUCACCCAUCCUAGUACUACUCUCGCCCAAGCACGCUUAACUUCGGAGUUCUGAUGGGAUCCGGUGCUUUAGUGCUGGUAUGAUCGCAUCCGACAUACCGUGCGUUCUCCUCCCCUUUAUGCCCGCGCCUCCGUGUACGGCCCGCCCAUAGCUCCUUCGACGGCGCCGCCUAGGAACGCGGAGAAAAUAUGACAAAGGAACGGCCAAAAAUAAAAAGAAAGACCUUUCUUUUGAAAAAACAAACAAAUAAAAGGAAUGCAACACGAGGACUUCCCAGGAGGUCACCCAUCCUAGUACUACUCUCGCCCAAGCACGCUUAACUUCGGAGUUCUGAUGGGAUCCGGUGCUUUAGUGCUGGUAUGAUCGCAUCCGACAUACCGUGCGUUCUCCUCCCCUUUAUGCCCGCGCCUCCGUGUACGGCCCGCCCAUAGCUCCUUCGACGGCGCCGCCUAGGAACGCGGAGAAAAUAUGACAAAGGAACGGCCAAAAAUAAAAAGAAAGACCUUUCUUUUGAAAAAACAAACGCCUCCGUGUACGGCCCGCCCAUAGCUCCUUCGACGGCGCCGCCUAGGAACGCGGAGAAAAUAUGACAAAGGAACGGCCAAAAAUAAAAAGAAAGACCUUUCUUUUGAAAAAACAAACAAAAAAAAGGAAUGCAACACGAGGACUUCCCAGGAGGUCACCCAUCCUAGUACUACUCUCGCCCAAGCACGCUUAACUUCGGAGUUCUGAUGGGAUCCGGUGCUUUAGUGCUGGUAUGAUCGCAUCCGACAUACCGUGCGUUCUCCUCCCCUUUAUGCCCGCGCCUCCGUGUACGGCCCGCCCAUAGCUCCUUCGACGGCGCCGCCUAGGAACGCGGAGAAAAUAUGACAAAGGAACGGCCAAAAAUAAAAAGAAAGACCUUUCUUUUGAAAAAACAAACAAAUAAAAGGAAUGCAACACGAGGACUUCCCAGGAGGUCACCCAUCCUAGUACUACUCUCGCCCAAGCACGCUUAACUUCGGAGUUCUGAUGGGAUCCGGUGCUUUAGUGCUGGUAUGAUCGCAUCCGACAUACCGUGCGUUCUCCUCCCCUUUAUGCCCGCGCCUCCGUGUACGGCCCGCCCAUAGCUCCUUCGACGGCGCCGCCUAGGAACGCGGAGAAAAUAUGACAAAGGAACGGCCAAAAAUAAAAAGAAAGACCUUUCUUUUGAAAAAACAAACGCCUCCGUGUACGGCCCGCCCAUAGCUCCUUCGACGGCGCCGCCUAGGAACGCGGAGAAAAUAUGACAAAGGAACGGCCAAAAAUAAAAAGAAAGACCUUUCUUUUGAAAAAACAAACAAAAAAAAGGAAUGCAACACGAGGACUUCCCAGGAGGUCACCCAUCCUAGUACUACUCUCGCCCAAGCACGCUUAACUUCGGAGUUCUGAUGGGAUCCGGUGCUUUAGUGCUGGUAUGAUCGCAUCCGACAUACCGUGCGUUCUCCUCCCCUUUAUGCCCGCGCCUCCGUGUACGGCCCGCCCAUAGCUCCUUCGACGGCGCCGCCUAGGAACGCGGAGAAAAUAUGACAAAGGAACGGCCAAAAAUAAAAAGAAAGACCUUUCUUUUGAAAAAACAAACAAAUAAAAGGAAUGCAACACGAGGACUUCCCAGGAGGUCACCCAUCCUAGUACUACUCUCGCCCAAGCACGCUUAACUUCGGAGUUCUGAUGGGAUCCGGUGCUUUAGUGCUGGUAUGAUCGCAUCCGACAUACCGUGCGUUCUCCUCCCCUUUAUGCCCGCGCCUCCGUGUACGGCCCGCCCAUAGCUCCUUCGACGGCGCCGCCUAGGAACGCGGAGAAAAUAUGACAAAGGAACGGCCAAAAAUAAAAAGAAAGACCUUUCUUUUGAAAAAACAAACAAAAAAAAGGAAUGCAACACGAGGACUUCCCAGGAGGUCACCCAUCCUAGUACUACUCUCGCCCAAGCACGCUUAACUUCGGAGUUCUGAUGGGAUCCGGUGCUUUAGUGCUGGUAUGAUCGCAUCCGACAUACCGUGCGUUCUCCUCCCCUUUAUGCCCGCGCCUCCGGGUACGGUCCUCCCAUAGCUCCGUCAACGGCCCGCCUAGGAACGCGGAGAAAAUAUGACAAAGGAACGGCCAAAAAUAAAAAGAAAGCCCUUUCUUUUGAAAAGACAACCGAAUAAAAGGAAUGCCACGCGAGGACUUCCCAGGAGGUCACCCAUCAUAGUACUACUCUCGCCCAAGCACGCUUAACUUCGGAGUUCUGAUGGGAUCCGGUGCUUUAGUGCUGGUAUGAUCGCAUCCGACAUACCGCGCGUUCUCCUCCCCUUAAGGCCCGCGCCUCCGUGUACGGCCCGCCCAUAGCUCCUUAGACGGCACCUCCUAGGAACGCGGAGAAAAUAUGACAAAGGAACGGCCAAAAAUAAAAAGAAAGACCUUUCUUUUGAAAAAACAAACGCCUCCGUGUACGGCCCGCCCAUAGCUCCUUCGACGGCGCCGCCUAGGAACGCGGAGAAAAUAUGACAAAGGAACGGCCAAAAAUAAAAAGAAAGACCUUUCUUUUGAAAAAACAAACAAAAAAAAGGAAUGCAACACGAGGACUUCCCAGGAGGUCACCCAUCCUAGUACUACUCUCGCCCAAGCACGCUUAACUUCGGAGUUCUGAUGGGAUCCGGUGCUUUAGUGCUGGUAUGAUCGCAUCCGACAUACCGUGCGUUCUCCUCCCCUUUAUGCCCGCGCCUCCGUGUACGGCCCGCCCAUAGCUCCUUCGACGGCGCCGCCUAGGAACGCGGAGAAAAUAUGACAAAGGAACGGCCAAAAAUAAAAAGAAAGACCUUUCUUUUGAAAAAACAAACGCCUCCGCGUACGGCCCGCCCAUAGCUCCUUCGACGGCGCCGCCUAGGAACGCGGAGAAAAUAUGACAAAGGAACGGCCAAAAAUAAAAAGAAAGACCUUUCUUUUGAAAAAACAAACAAAAAAAAGGAAUGCAACACGAGGACUUCCCAGGAGGUCACCCAUCCUAGUACUACUCUCGCCCAAGCACGCUUAACUUCGGAGUUCUGAUGGGAUCCGGUGCUUUAGUGCUGGUAUGAUCGCAUCCGACAUACCGUGCGUUCUCCUCCCCUUUAUGCCCGCGCCUCCGUGUACGGCCCGCCCAUAGCUCCUUCGACGGCGCCGCCUAGGAACGCGGAGAAAAUAUGACAAAGGAACGGCCAAAAAUAAAAAGAAAGACCUUUCUUUUGAAAAAACAAACAAAUAAAAGGAAUGCAACACGAGGACUUCCCAGGAGGUCACCCAUCCUAGUACUACUCUCGCCCAAGCACGCUUAACUUCGGAGUUCUGAUGGGAUCCGGUGCUUUAGUGCUGGUAUGAUCGCAUCCGACAUACCGUGCGUUCUCCUCCCCUUUAUGCCCGCGCCUCCGUGUACGGCCCGCCCAUAGCUCCUUCGACGGCGCCGCCUAGGAACGCGGAGAAAAUAUGACAAAGGAACGGCCAAAAAUAAAAAGAAAGACCUUUCUUUUGAAAAAACAAACAAAUAAAAGGAAUGCAACACGAGGACUUCCCAGGAGGUCACCCAUCCUAGUACUACUCUCGCCCAAGCACGCUUAACUUCGGAGUUCUGAUGGGAUCCGGUGCUUUAGUGCUGGUAUGAUCGCAUCCGACAUACCGUGCGUUCUCCUCCCCUUUAUGCCCGCGCCUCCGUGUACGGCCCGCCCAUAGCUCCUUCGACGGCGCCGCCUAGGAACGCGGAGAAAAUAUGACAAAGGAACGGCCAAAAAUAAAAAGAAAGACCUUUCUUUUGAAAAAACAAACGCCUCCGUGUACGGCCCGCCCAUAGCUCCUUCGACGGCGCCGCCUAGGAACGCGGAGAAAAUAUGACAAAGGAACGGCCAAAAAUAAAAAGAAAGACCUUUCUUUUGAAAAAACAAACAAAAAAAAGGAAUGCAACACGAGGACUUCCCAGGAGGUCACCCAUCCUAGUACUACUCUCGCCCAAGCACGCUUAACUUCGGAGUUCUGAUGGGAUCCGGUGCUUUAGUGCUGGUAUGAUCGCAUCCGACAUACCGUGCGUUCUCCUCCCCUUUAUGCCCGCGCCUCCGUGUACGGCCCGCCCAUAGCUCCUUCGACGGCGCCGCCUAGGAACGCGGAGAAAAUAUGACAAAGGAACGGCCAAAAAUAAAAAGAAAGACCUUUCUUUUGAAAAAACAAACAAAUAAAAGGAAUGCAACACGAGGACUUCCCAGGAGGUCACCCAUCCUAGUACUACUCUCGCCCAAGCACGCUUAACUUCGGAGUUCUGAUGGGAUCCGGUGCUUUAGUGCUGGUAUGAUCGCAUCCGACAUACCGUGCGUUCUCCUCCCCUUUAUACCCGCGCCUCCGUGUACGGCCCGCCCAUAGCUCCUUCGACGGCGCCGCCUAGGAACGCGGAGAAAAUAUGACAAAGGAACGGCCAAAAAUAAAAAGAAAGACCUUUCUUUUGAAAAAACAAACAAAUAAAAGGAAUGCAACACGAGGACUUCCCAGGAGGUCACCCAUCCUAGUACUACUCUCGCCCAAGCACGCUUAACUUCGGAGUUCUGAUGGGAUCCGGUGCUUUAGUGCUGGUAUGAUCGCAUCCGACAUACCGUGCGUUCUCCUCCCCUUUAUGCCCGCGCCUCCGUGUACGGCCCGCCCAUAGCUCCUUCGACGGCGCCGCCUAGGAACGCGGAGAAAAUAUGACAAAGGAACGGCCAAAAAUAAAAAGAAAGACCUUUCUUUUGAAAAAACAAACGCCUCCGUGUACGGCCCGCCCAUAGCUCCUUCGACGGCGCCGCCUAGGAACGCGGAGAAAAUAUGACAAAGGAACGGCCAAAAAUAAAAAGAAAGACCUUUCUUUUGAAAAAACAAACAAAAAAAAGGAAUGCAACACGAGGACUUCCCAGGAGGUCACCCAUCCUAGUACUACUCUCGCCCAAGCACGCUUAACUUCGGAGUUCUGAUGGGAUCCGGUGCUUUAGUGCUGGUAUGAUCGCAUCCGACAUACCGUGCGUUCUCCUCCCCUUUAUACCCGCGCCUCCGUGUACGGCCCGCCCAUAGCUCCUUCGACGGCGCCGCCUAGGAACGCGGAGAAAAUAUGACAAAGGAACGGCCAAAAAUAAAAAGAAAGACCUUUCUUUUGAAAAAACAAGCAAAAAAAAGGAAUGCAACACGAGGACUUCCCAGGAGGUCACCCAUCCUAGUACUACUCUCGCCCAAGCACGCUUAACUUCGGAGUUCUGAUGGGAUCCGGUGCUUUAGUGCUGGUAUGAUCGCAUCCGACAUACCGUGCGUUCUCCUCCCCUUUAUGCCCGCGCCUCCGUGUACGGCCCGCCCAUAGCUCCUUCGACAGCGCCGCCUAGGAACGCGGAGAAAAUAUGACAAAGGAACGGCAAAAAAUAAAAAGAAAGACCUUUCUUUUGAAAAAACAAACAAAAAAAAGGAAUGCAACACGCGGACUUCCCAGGAGGUCACCCAUCCUAGUACUACUCUCGCCUAAGCACGCUUAACUUCGGAGUNNNNNNNNNNNNNNNNNNNNNNNNNNNNNNNNNNNNNNNNNNNNNNNNNNNNNNNNNNNNNNNNNNNNNNNNNNNNNNNNNNNNNNNNNNNNNNNNNNNNNNNNNNNNNNNNNNNNNNNNNNNNNNNNNNNNNNNNNNNNNNNNNNNNNNNNNNNNNNNNNNNNNNNNNNNNNNNNNNNNNNNNNNNNNNNNNNNNNNNNNNNNNNNNNNNNNNNNNNNNNNNNNNNNNNNNNNNNNNNNNNNNNNNNNNNNNNNNNNNNNNNNNNNNNNNNNNNNNNNNNNNNNNNNNNNNNNNNNNNNNNNNNNNNNNNNNNNNNNNNNNNNNNNNNNNNNNNNNNNNNNNNNNNNNNNNNNNNNNNNNNNNNNNNNNNNNNNNNNNNNNNNNNNNNNNNNNNNNNNNNNNNNNNNNNNNNNNNNNNNNNNNNNNNNNNNNNNNNNNNNNNNNNNNNNNNNNNNNNNNNNNNNNNNNNNNNNNNNNNNNNNNNNNNNNNNNNNNNNNNNNNNNNNNNNNNNNNNNNNNNNNNNNNNNNNNNNNNNNNNNNNNNNNNNNNNNNNNNNNNNNNNNNNNNNNNNNNNNNNNNNNNNNNNNNNNNNNNNNNNNNNNNNNNNNNNNNNNNNNNNNNNNNNNNNNNNNNNNNNNNNNNNNNNNNNNNNNNNNNNNNNNNNNNNNNNNNNNNNNNNNNNNNNNNNNNNNNNNNNNNNNNNNNNNNNNNNNNNNNNNNNNNNNNNNNNNNNNNNNNNNNNNNNNNNNNNNNNNNNNNNNNNNNNNNNNNNNNNNNNNNNNNNNNNNNNNNNNNNNNNNNNNNNNNNNNNNNNNNNNNNNNNNNNNNNNNNNNNNNNNNNNNNNNNNNNNNNNNNNNNNNNNNNNNNNNNNNNNNNNNNNNNNNNNNNNNNNNNNNNNNNNNNNNNNNNNNNNNNNNNNNNNNNNNNNNNNNNNNNNNNNNNNNNNNNNNNNNNNNNNNNNNNNNNNNNNNNNNNNNNNNNNNNNNNNNNNNNNNNNNNNNNNNNNNNNNNNNNNNNNNNNNNNNNNNNNNNNNNNNNNNNNNNNNNNNNNNNNNNNNNNNNNNNNNNNNNNNNNNNNNNNNNNNNNNNNNNNNNNNNNNNNNNNNNNNNNNNNNNNNNNNNNNNNNNNNNNNNNNNNNNNNNNNNNNNNNNNNNNNNNNNNNNNNNNNNNNNNNNNNNNNNNNNNNNNNNNNNNNNNNNNNNNNNNNNNNNNNNNNNNNNNNNNNNNNNNNNNNNNNNNNNNNNNNNNNNNNNNNNNNNNNNNNNNNNNNNNNNNNNNNNNNNNNNNNNNNNNNNNNNNNNNNNNNNNNNNNNNNNNNNNNNNNNNNNNNNNNNNNNNNNNNNNNNNNNNNNNNNNNNNNNNNNNNNNNNNNNNNCCUUCAUCCAUCUGUGCGAGGCCUAUGUUGGCAUAGAGCCGCACUUUGAUCUUUUCCGGUAUCUUUUCUGUCUGAGGAAGAAGGGAGCAGUUGGAGGCUCCAAGGUUGCAGGUGGAGUAUACCUCAACCUCCGUGAUGGGAUGAAGAAUCGCUACCUGCACUGCCCAUGGAACACCUCCUUGACCGAAUGGUACAGGAAGUGGUUCUACGUCAGGGAGGAACCGGGCAGCUCCACGUUCUGCGACGUGGGGUACGUUCCCGAGAAGAGGGCGAGCUGGACUGACCGCCCAGAGUUCGACGGUCAAGUGGCGGUUCUGAUGAAGCUGAUCGACUGGUCGCGCCUGGAUGGGCUCAGCGUGGUCGGCAACUUCAUUUGCCGCCGGGUGAUGCCCUGCCAGAAGAGGGUGCACUCGGCGUAUGAAUAUGCCGGAAGCACAGACCCGACCAGGAUGCGGUCGGAGAUCCUGGAGAAGGCGGAGGUACAACAGCUGCUGAACGAGCUGUUUAACUUCGCGGAUGGGGGCUUCACCCGUAGCAGUGAUCGGGUGCAAGCCUUCAAGUUAGGACGACCAGCACCAAAGGUAUGUAGCAGACUUCGUUUGAUCAUUCGUAUGUCGCCUGUAGUUGGCUCAUCUCUGUUACCUUUGCAGGUCGGUGAUGUCGACCGGUGCGUAGUGUACGUAUCACUGGCACCGGGGAUGGAAGAUCCUGUGGGAGAGGUCCCACCGGAGGAAGGCAGAGCCCGCCCCGUCCCGACCUCCGAGGAGAGGGUGGCGGGGAAAAGGCCAUUGCCGGUGGAUCCCCUGCCGACGCCGGAGCUGCCGGCAGACCUACCGGCGGAGAGCAGCCAAGCGCCGAAGCGUCGUCGGCUCGUGCGGAUCGUCGACGACGACGACGACGACGAGGAGGCUGCGCCGUCGUUGGUCCGACGGCCUCGGGGCCGCCCAGACGCUGCACCAGUCGCCACUGAUCGAGUGGCCAACGGCGCGGCUGCCCCGCAAGUUGCCGAGGUGGGGGCACAGGCGCCGACCGGCCGGGCGAGGAGGAGGUUCACCGCGACCCAUCGCCGGUCAGACCUGUAAGUGUUCAACUUACGUAUUUUGGACUCCCCCUUUUUUUUUUUUUUAAACUUUUGUUCCUGUAGUGCGGCAUCGGAUGUCGACCCUGGCCAAACUGCCGGCCAGGGAACGGGCGAGCCUGCCCGCGGUUCUCGGGAUGCGGCCCCCCAGACCACAGAACAGCCGACUGCUGCAGUCGCGCCUGGGAGCACCGAGGAGCUCCCGAGCGCGGCGCCGACUACAACAAGCAGCCCGACCAGGGCUGGGGAGGCUCCCCCAACUGACUCUUCGGAGAAGGGAAAGUCUCCGACCGCUCCUCCUGCCGGGGGGAGUGAAGUCCCCCCGCCGCCCCGAGCAGAAGCCUCUCCGGCUGCGGGCUCCCCAGGUCUGGUCCAAGGGACGUUGACGCCUGGGACCACCACCGGGGGUGACGCAGCCCAGGAGGAGGAAACCAGGGCGGCCUCCGACGACGAGGUAGAAGAGAUCGAGGGUCGUCCCCGUGAUGGCCGCCAACACGUGUAUGUGUGGCGCCAACGCGGGGAUCACUUUAUCGGUCAUGAGGAGCUUGCCGAGUCCGAAGAGGCCGCCAGGGUGGAGCGCGCGGCCAAGCGCCUUGUCGACGAAGUCAAGGUAAGCGUCGUUUUGAGCUGCCGCGCAUUCUUUUGCCUUGUCUUCUGCGCAUUGUUAUAUGCUUGCUUUGUAGGACGUUAUGAAAACGGCGAAGUACCGGAAACGGUGCUUUGACCAGAUAGAAGGCGUCAUGGCCGAGAACAAGGCCCUUGCCGCGGAGGUAGACCGGUUGCGGGCGGAGGUCGGAGAGAAGGUGGUCGAGAUGAGCACCGAGAAGGAGCGUCGUCUCGACCUCGCUCGUCGCCUGGCCGACCAGUACCGGCUGCAGGAAGGUUAGUCUCACGCUCCGAGCAGUUUCGCAGACUUGUAUAGUUUGCUUCGCUGACCAGUUUAGGAUUCACGCAGACUUGGAGGAGGAGGUGGCGAGCCUCCAACAAGAGAAGGAGCAGCUCGGCCAACAGCUCGCCAGUGCGCAGGAGUCCGGACGGCGAGCGGAAGAGGAAUUAAGUCGUAAAGACCGGGAGUUAGCUGGUAAUGGGUGCCGCCUUGUUGGUUGCUACCUGCCCCUUUGCUUGUUUGGUAUGCCGAAAGUAACGUUUCGUUUCGUUUGCAGUGCUCAAGGUGAACACCAAAAAGCACCUGGAUGAGCUGGUCAAGGACCGGGACUCCUGGAAGGUCAACUGUUGCAGGAUCUGGAAGGGAGUGUCCCCGGUCCUGGACCUGAUCAGUCCCGAGCUCCCGGAGAGCCAGCCCCGCGCGCCGCAGUUGACCCCGGUUCAAAAGGCGCAACGGGCGUGGGACUGGCUCCAGCAGUUUGUGAAGGACGCCGGGGAGUUUGCCGGCGCGCACGUCCUCAGCAUGGUACGCGCCCACUACCCCCUUGUCGACUUGAGCAGGCUGGAGAAGGGGUACCCGAAGGAAGUCGGCCCACAGGAAGCGGACGAACUUCGGGGUAGUCUGCUGGACUUGUCGUCGACAGUGAUCGGCGACAUCAACCUGUGCGGAACGGCCACUCCUCCAGACCAGCCGAGCUCAGAUAGGUCGGCCAGGGAGUUGUCGGGCGCGUCCUUUGCUGGAGAUGGGCGGUCGACGCCUGCGGUCUCGACCAGCCAGGCGCCGGUGGCCCCGACCCCUUCGUCCGGGCAGCAGGGCCAGGCGGGUGAUCAGCCCGAGCAGCUAGGCCAAUAAAGUAGUCUGUAGGAAUAGACUAGUAUCUGCCCGUCAGGGUAUUUAUUGUAAACUUUGUAUGUAAAGUUUGUAAUAAAGUUUUCUUUUUGUCAUGACUGUUGUUUUGAGCGCUGUAAAAAUAUCUGAGUGAUGUGUCAUCGUAUUUGUCUUGGUUGUCGCCAAGAGCAUCCAUUGCGGGAGUUUUGCCGAGUGCUGUGUAUGACAAGGUAUAGGCAAAAAAUAGAGAAUUAUAUUGUCACAAAUUAUAAGACACUUACAAAAGAAAGUCGCUAAAACUUUAUGGAUAGAAACGUCGCAGUUUGUCGAUGUGCCAAGAGUUAGGCACUCGUGUUCCGUCUGGGUAUGCCAAUCUGUAGGACGUAGGUCGUGUGACCUCGGUCACCACGAAGGGUCCUUCCCAGGGAGUAGAUAACUUGUGCAUUCCCUCCUGGCUUGUUUUCCAUCGAAGCACCAGAUCGCCGACCACGAAGGAACGGUCCUUGACGUUCCUGUUGUAGUAUCGCCUGACUGCCGUGAGAUAUUUUGCUGUUCGGAGACAUGAAACUAAACGCUUUUCCUCCAUGCAAUUGAUUUCGAGUUCUCUGGCGUUGUCGGCGGUCGACUGGUCGAAGUGCUCAAUUCUAGGGGAUCCGAAGUGUAUGUCGGACGGCAGAACCGCCUCUGCGCCGUACACCAUGAAAUAGGGAGACACCCCCGUGUUUCGACUGGUCUGAGUUCGAAGGCCCCAGACCACUGCCGGCAAUUCUUUCAUCCAUCGACCGGGUGCUCUGUCGUUCUCGGUGUACAAUCUUUUCUUUAGGGCGUCGACGAUCAUUCCAUUAGCACGUUCGACCUGACCGUUGGCACGUGGAUGUGCCACUGACACAUAUUUUAUGACUAUGCCUCUGUCAUCGCAGAAAUCCCAAAAGGUGGUGCCAGUAAACUGAGUGCCCAGGUCGGUGAUUAUGCUGUUCGGGAUGCCGAAUCUGUGUAUGAUUUGAUUGAGGAACUCCACAGCCUUCUCGGAAGUUGCCUUGACCAGGGGCAUGUAUUCAAUCCACUUGGAGAACUUGUCGAUUAACACGAAGACAAACUUGAAGUUGCCCGGGGCUGGUUUAAAUGGUCCGAUCAUGUCAAGCCCCCAGCAGGCAAAGGGCCAAGACGACGGGAUGGUUUGAAUUUCAUGGGCAGGUACGUGGGUCCUCUUAGCGAAAAACUGACAUCCUUCGCAACGCCGAACCAGUUUUUCUGCAUCGCUGACCGCGGUCGGCCAGUAAAAACCUGCUCGGAAAGCCUUUCCGACCAGCGUUCUAGAUGCGGCGUGGUUGCCGCAGGAUCCGGCGUGUAUGUCCUCCAAGAGCUUGAUACCAUCGUCUUGGGGUAUGCACUUGAGCAGUACCUCGGAGCUUGCGUUUUUCCGCAUGAGUUUUCCGUCGACCAGGAUGUAGUUCUUUGACCGUCGGAUGAGACGCUCGUUCUCUGUUUUGUCCUGAAAACCUGUCCCGUCUGAGAUGUAUUUGAUGAACGGGACACGCCAGUCGCGCCCGCCGGUUGUCGGAGUGGCGUCAUCUAUGAGCAUUGCCUCGUUGGGUUGCUUGUCGACCAGGGGGGAGCUUACGCUCGGCUCAUGGAUGUCCUGGACGAAAAUACCGCGCGGGAUUUGGGCCCGGGACGAGCCUAACUUUGACAACGCAUCUGCUGCUUGGUUCUUAUCCCGGACCACGUGGAUGUACUCUAUGCCAUAGAAGUUAGUUUCCCAUUUGCGAAUUUCUUUGCAGUAGAGAUCCAUCUUCUCGUGGGUUGCGUCCCACUCCUUGUUGAGCUGGUUGAUGACCAAAGCGGAGUCCCCGUAGACAUAGAGGCGCUUAACCCCCAGCUCAACGGCUAGUCGUACGCCAUGUAAGCAAGCUUCAUAUUCGGCGACAUUGUUUGACGCCGGGAAAAGGAUCCGAAGGACGUAGCGGAGUUUGUCCUUGUUUGGUGAUACGAACAAUAUCCCAGCGCCUGCACCGUUGAUGUUCAAGGACCCAUCAAAGAACAUUGACCAGUGGUCUGAGACAUCGGGAACGGACGGUUCGUUGAGAUCCGUCCAUUCGGCAAUGAAAUCGACCAGGGCUUGGGACUUGACAGUGGUGCGACUCUGAAACUCCAGGGAAAAUGGACAUAAUUCCAUUGCCCAUUUCACGAUUCUGCCAUUGGCGUCUUUAUUGCGCAGGAUGUCACCGAGGGGAAAGCUGGUUGUCACCAGGACUCGAUGGCCGUCGAAGUAGUGCUUCAGUUUUCUUGACGUUAUCAGGAUGGCGUAUAUAAGCUUCUGUAUUUGUGGGUACCUGGCCUUGGAUUCGUUUAAAACUUCGCUUAUGAAGUAAACGGGCCUCUGGACCUUGAAGACGUGACCUGGUUCAUCUCGCUCGACCACUAUUGCCGUGGAAACAACUCUGUCGGUUGCAGCAAUGUAAAGGAGCAGGUCUUCGUUGGGCUGAGGCGCUGUGAGAACAGGCGGUGAAGUGAGGAAGGUCUUAAGCUGAGUGAACGCAGCGUCGGCGUCUUCUAUCCAGGAGAAUUUUUCUGACGCUUUCAAUAGUUUGAAAAAGGGGAGGCCUUUUUCUCCCAGCCUUGAGAUGAAACGACUGAGAGCGGCCAUGCAUCCGGUUAGCUUCUGAAUAUCCUUGACGUUCUUCGGUGGUCGCAUGUCGAGUACGGCUUUGACUUUUGAAGGGUUUGGCCGUAUGCCGUCGCAACUGACGACGUUGCCGAGCAGUAGACCGGAAGGAACGCCGAAAAUGCAUUUCUUGGGGUUGAGCUUCCACUUGUACCUAUUGAGUGCCUUGAAGGUUCGGUCUAAGUUGUCGAUUAGGGUGCUCGCAUCCCUUGUUUUUACGACCACGUCGUCCACAUAGGCCUCGACGAGGUCGUCGCGAAUCUCGUCGUGGAGGCAUUGCUGGAUGGCCCUUUGAUAAGUGGCCCCGGCGUUUUUAAGUCCGAAAGACAUGGUAGUGUAACAGUAUGCGCCGAAAGGUGUGAUGAAGGAUGUUUUGAUCUGAUCUUCUUCUUUUAACGAGAUCUGGUGAUAACCAGAGUAGCAAUCUAGAAAGGAGAGGAGUUCGCAUCCGGCCGUUGAGUCGACCACCUCGUCGAUGCGAGGAAGACCAAAAGGAUCUUUAGGACAGUGUUUGUUGAGAUCGGUGUAAUCAACGCACAUUCUCCAUUCAUUAUUCUUUUUGCGUACAAGAACCGGAUUGGCGAGCCAAUCGGGAUGAUACACCUCUUUUAUGAAUCCGGCUGCUAGAAGCCGUGUUAUUUCUGUCCUAAUAGCCUCCUUUUUGUCACGAGCGAACCGUCGCAGUUUUUGCUUGAUUGGUCUUGCGGUCUUCGAGACGUUUAAGGAGUGCUCGAUCAGGUUCCGUGGGACGCCGGGCAUGUCUGCGGGUUUCCAUGCGAAAACGCUCACGUUGUCCCUUAGAAACCUGACGAGCGCGUCUUCCUAUUUUGGAUCCAGGUUAGCCCCGAUGAGGGCUGUCUUCUCGGGGUUGCCCUCGACCAGCUGCACUUCUUUGUACUCCUUGGAUUUCGAAUUCUUUCUGGCUGUCUCCUGCUCAGGUAAUCGGAGCUGGUCGGGGGGCAGCUGUGCGGCUUGGUUUGCUGUUUCCGCCAUGCGGAUUGAGAGGUCAAUUGCCUCGGUGAUCUUGAAACUUUCUUCUUCGCAGGUGUACGCAGUGUAGACGUUGCCUCUGACGGUCAGGACACCCUUCUCCGUGGGCAUCUUAAGCACUAGGUACGAGUAGUGCGGGACUGCCAUGAACUUUGUCAGCGAUGGGCGGCCCAGUAUGGCGUGGUAGGUCCCGUCGAAGUCCGCGACUACGAAGUUGAUGAACUCCGUCCGGAAGUGAUCGGGUGUGCCGAAUUGGACAGGCAAUGUUAUCUGUCCGAGGGGCACCGAACUUUGACCUGGCAAAACCCCCCAGAAUUGGGCGUCGUAAGGUUUUAGUUGGGCCGGUGAUAUCUUGAGGGCGGGCAGGCUGUUGCGGAAGAGGAUGUCAAUGGAGCUUCCCCCGUCCACGAGCACGCGCUCGAAUCUGAUGCUGUUGAUGCAAGGAUCGAGAAUUAGUGGGAAACGACCCGGCUCCGGGAUAGCGGCCCACUGGUCCUUCCUGCUGAACGCGAUCUCCCUAUGGGACCAGGCGGGAAAUUUCAGAUCUGCGAUCAGCCCGUCCGUGCUGUCUAUGUUGAGGCAGGCUCUCUUCAACAGCUUUCUUUCUCGCUUGGACUCAGUGGAGACCUUGCCCCCGAAAAUGGAGUGGACCACGUCGGUGGGGCUGACGUAUUGGUGUCGGGGGUCCCUGUCUUGGUCCUCGUCCUCAUCUUCGUGGUCGUGCCCGUCGCGUUUGUUACUUUUCUUGGCGGUGUCUUCUUGGGCGGCCCGCCGUGUAUAGAUAUUUUUGAGGACGCGGCACUCUUCCAUGGUAUGGUUAGACUUUGGAUGUAGCUGGCACGGUCCCUUCAACGUUUUGUUGUAGUCGUCUUGGUAGUCCCGUCGUCCAUUGGGACGUUUGACCGUGUUUACUUCGUGGUCGUAUUCGCGAGGGCGCUUUCCUCUGAAGUCGUCGCGGCUGUCGCGCCGCCGAUCCCAACCCUCUCGGUGAUCGCGGUUGUCGGAGCGACGGUGAUUUCUGUUGUCGUAGCGGCCGCGACCGUCGUCUCGCCGGGAGGGCUGGUCGGUGCCUCUCGCAUCGUCUCGGAUUAGUUUUUCUGCGUCAUCAGCAUCGGCAUAAUUUUUAGCCGUGGCGAGGAGCUCUGCUACUGUUGAUGGACGUUUACGCAACAGCUUGUUCCUCAGCGCUUCAUGGAAACGUAAGCCCUUGAUAAAGGCUGAUAUGGCCUCGUCAUGAGAAAUCUUCGGGAUUUUGAGACGCAUAUCCGAGAAUCGUCGGAUGUAAUCACGCAGAGGUUCAUUCUUCCUGUCUCUUAUCCUUUCAAGGUCAUACUUGUUUCCGGGCUGUUCGCAUGUGGCGAUGAAGUUGUCAAUGAAAGCCUGUCGUAGUUCUUCCCAAGAGUCGAAGGAGUCCUCGGGCAAGCCGAGAAGCCACUGAUGACCAGCCUGGUCGAGGACUACGGGGAAGUAGUUAGCCAUGACGUGCUCAUCUCCUGCCGCUGAUCGGACGGCGAUUUCGUAGAGGGUGAUCCAGUUCUCUGGAUUUUCCUUGCCGUCGUAUUUUUUAAGUUUUUCGAGCUUGAAAUUUCUGGGCCACACGACCUGGCGGAGGUGUGAGGAGAACUGCCUUAGGCCCGGGGGACCAUGGGUCGCAUCGUACUCGAUGCGGCGUAGGUUUUCGUGGACUGCUCUCUCUGCGGCGCGCCUGUUGAUGCGGUCCCGGGCAUCUUUGGGAGGGAUGUUGUGGCGGAGAUCCCUGUGUUGAUCUUCUUCUUCCUGGCCGCGUACGCGGUUCUGCUGGCGGCGGCCAUCGGCGUCUCGACCACCAUCGUCGCGCCGUGAGUCCCCUCGACGGUUGUCGGGGGAGCGCCUGCGGCGACGCCUGCUGGGCGAGGCCCGGCUACGAUGAGUCUGGUCGGAGGCGGCUUCCGUAUAAGGGACGUCCUGGACUCUCUUAAGCAGAGUUGCUGUCUGUCCCAUCGCGGCGAUCAGGUGUGCUCGGAUACUGGUCCGGACCCCCUGGCAUUCUGGUGUGUCAGGAAGCCGAUCCAGGUUGGCCAUGGCAACAGCCACGUUGGCGCUUGGCGUUUUGUAGACCGGCUGGUCCCCGACCAUGUCAAAGGCAUCGUUGAGGUUACCCGGUGGCGUCUGUUGUUGCUCGUCCGCACGCCGUCGGGCGCGAUCGGCGUUACGCUGUUCGCGGAGUUGCCUCUGGUCGUCUGUUUCUCCGUCAACAACCGGUUCGUCGGCGCUGACAUUGAAUACAAUAUCCCCUCGCCGGGGGGGGGGAAUAUCGGGAACCGGUCGAAACCCGGAGGGUGUGAAGGGAAAUCCAGGUCGUAGCCCUCGUCUUCGGUGUUUAUAACCUCGGUGGGGACGGAGCCGGUGCUUGAGUUGGUGCUGGAAACCUGGCCGUUCCGUAGCUCUCGGAUUGUCACCAUGUUGACAUGGUGACGAUUGUUCCUUGUCGGCGACCAGCCCGCUUUGCUGAAAACGGAUUGAACAUGCUGUGAGUAGACAGAGGCCGAGUUAUUCAGGCCGCAAGGAUGGUCUCCCUUUUUGAGCUCGACGGAUCGGCCUGAGGAGGUUGAGGUUAUCGCCAGGGACGUUCCCAGCCGUUCGUGUGUGGUGACACGAGUUGGCCGGCGGGAUUUCGAAAAAUCCGCUUGAGUGGCUUGGUCGGGCCGGCGCAGAAUUCCAUCUAUUAGUUGGGAGACUUCGAGCAGCUUGGAGUCGGCGCGAUCGAGCGCUUGGAGGAGGUCCGAGCAGUCGAUCUCCUUUCCCUUGUAGAGUGGGAACGGUGGCCGGGAGUUUGGUGCCGUCAUGCGUGUGGUCGGAGACGGCGUGAUCUCAGAUUGGAUCUGGAUCUCUUUCGGGACCGUGGUCGGGAAGCCGCCGCUGCACGUCGUCCACGUGAUCUGGCCGACGGUAAACGUGAGGCCUUCGGGCACGGUCGCGGAAGCUGGGAUCGUGACCAUCUUGUUCGCCGGAAAAGUUGCACGCACACCCCCUACCUGGCGCGCCACUGUCGACGAAAGCUGGUCGGCAGUCUACCUUGGGGUAUACCCACGGUAGUAGUUUAUCGGUAGACGGUGCGCAAACUACGAACUCGAUGGUGACGCAAGACACGGACAAGCUUUUUAUCCAGGUUCGGCCGCCGAGUUGGCGUAAUACCUACGUCCUGCGUCUGGUUGUAUUGGAUUGUGUUUAGAGAUAAUCUACCCUAGGGGGUCCCCUUGCCCCUCCUUAUAUAGUCUGGAGGGCAGGGUUACAGAUCUAGAAACUAAUCCUAGCCGGUUACAAUUGCCAUAGAUAAUUCGAUAUCAAUUCCUAUUCUAACCGACUAGAAUCCUGCUUGAUCUCCACGUCCUGUUUCCUUGCGCGAAACUCGGGCUAUCGGAUCAAGCCUUGAACUCGUCUCGUAGUGGGCCAAGCUUCCUAGCUGAAGUCUAGCCGUAAGGGUAUAGGGGUUUAUACCCCCACACCGUGCGUUCUCCUCCCCUUUAUGCCCGCGCCUCCGUGUACGGCCCGCCCAUAGCUCCUUCGACGGCGCCGCCUAGGAACGCGGAGAAAAUAUGACAAAGGAACGGCCAAAAAUAAAAAGAAAGACCUUUCUUUUGAAAAAACAAACAAAUAAAAGGAAUGCAACACGAGGACUUCCCAGGAGGUCACCCAUCCUAGUACUACUCUCGCCCAAGCACGCUUAACUUCGGAGUUCUGAUGGGAUCCGGUGCUUUAGUGCUGGUAUGAUCGCAUCCGACAUACCGUGCGUUCUCCUCCCCUUUAUGCCCGCGCCUCCGUGUACGGCCCGCCCAUAGCUCCUUCGACGGCGCCGCCUAGGAACGCGGAGAAAAUAUGACAAAGGAACGGCCAAAAAUAAAAAGAAAGACCUUUCUUUUGAAAAAACAAACAAAAAAAAGGAAUGCAACACGAGGACUUCCCAGGAGGUCACCCAUCCUAGUACUACUCUCGCCCAAGCACGCUUAACUUCGGAGUUCUGAUGGGAUCCGGUGCUUUAGUGCUGGUAUGAUCGCAUCCGACAUACCGUGCGUUCUCCUCCCCUUUAUGCCCGCGCCUCCGUGUACGGCCCGCCCAUAGCUCUUUCGACGGCGCCGCCUAGGAACGCGGAGAAAAUAUGACAAAGGAACGGCCAAAAAUAAAAGAAAGACCUUUCUUUUGAAAAAACAAACGCCUCCGUGUACGGCCCGCCCAUAGCUCCUCCGACGGCCCCGCCUAGGAACGCGAAGAAAAUAUGACAAAGGAACGCCCAAAAAUAAAAAGAAAGACCUUUCUUUUGAAAAAACAAACAUUAAAAAGGAAUGCAACACGAGGACUUCCCAGGAGGUCACCAAUCCUAGUACUACUCUCGCCCAAGCACGCUUAACUUCGAAGUUCUGAUGGGAUCCGGUGCUUUAGUGCUGGUAUGAUCGCAUCCGACAUACCGUGCGUUCUCCUCCCCUUUAUGCCCGCGCCUCCGUGUACGGCCCGCCCAUAGCUCCUUCGACGGCGCCGCCUAGGAACGCGGAGAAAAUAUGACAAAGGAACGGCCAAAAAUAAAAAGAAAGACCUUUCUUUUGAAAAAACAAACAAAAAAAAGGAAUGCAACACGAGGACUUCCCAGGAGGUCACCCAUCCUAGUACUACUCUCGCCCAAGCACGCUUAACUUCGGAGUUCUGAUGGGAUCCGGUGCUUUAGUGCUGGUAUGAUCGCAUCCGACAUACCGUGCGUUCUCCUCCCCUUUAUGCCCGCGCCUCCGUGUACGGCCCGCCCAUAGCUCCUUCGACGGCGCCGCCUAGGAACGCGGAGAAAAUAUGACAAAGGAACGGCCAAAAAUAAAAAGAAAGACCUUUCUUUUGAAAAAACAAACAAAAAAAAGGAAUGCAACACGAGGACUUCCCAGGAGGUCACCCAUCCUAGUACUACUCUCGCCCAAGCACGCUUAACUUCGGAGUUCUGAUGGGAUCCGGUGCUUUAGUGCUGGUAUGAUCGCAUCCGACAUACCGUGCGUUCUCCUCCCCUUUAUGCCCGCGCCUCCGUGUACGGCCCGCCCAUAGCUCCUUCGACGGCGCCGCCUAGGAACGCGGAGAAAAUAUGACAAAGGAACGGCCAAAAAUAAAAAGAAAGACCUUUCUUUUGAAAAAAAAAACAAAAAAAAGGAAUGCAACACGAGGACUUCCCAGGAGGUCACCCAUCCUAGUACUACUCUCGCCCAAGCACGCUUAACUUCGGAGUUCUGAUGGGAUCCGGUGCUUUAUUGCUGGUAUGAUCGCAUCCGACAUACCGUGCGUUCUCCUCCCCUUUAUGCCCGCACCUCCGUGUACGGCCCGCCCAUAGCUCCUUCGACGGCGCCGCCUAGGAACGCGGAGAAAAUAUGACAAAGGAACGGCCAAAAAUAAAAAGAAAGACCUUUCUUUUGAAAAAACAAACAAAAAA
rnacentral:lncRNA from 1 species